CUUAUCAGAAAAUCAACCAUUGCUCCGAGUUUUAUUUCUAGGAUUUUAUGAUUUUUAUCAUUAAUAUAUUUAUGCCUGAUUGACUUUAUUACCAAUUUUGUAAGAAAGUUUCGCUCUCUAGUUUUUAUAUUUUAAACCUCACGAAGUCUAUUAACUUUUGUACACAGCAGGAACAGUACAUAUUCACUUGUGAGUGAAUCAUUCAGUUGUUUCUUAUGACUUGUCACUUAUCAAUUUUUCUAGUUCGAAAAAUUUAGAUUUUAGCCUCGAACAGUCGAACUUGAGUUUUCUCGGCUUAGUUUAACUGAAACAGUGUUCUGGCUCCUGUUGAGUUGUAUUUUGUUCAGGGAAGGAAUCUGCAAAAGUGUCUGUACUCAGUGUACUGCGUUAUUAAUGUACGAGCGAAUGGCUGCAGCGCAUAUCGUUCCGGAACUUCUGUACACGAUAUGGCUGGUGAUCUACUACAUCCUCGAAGCCGUCGUAUUAUCCCUCAUUCCCAAUCGCAUGAAAGCGCGCAAAGAUAUUAGCGAUGAAGUGGUCCUAAUUACCGGUGGCGGACAUGGUAUUGGGCGAUCGUUGGCAGUUCGGUUCGCGCGGUUGCGCUGUCGGGUGAUUAUUUUGGACAACAAUCAGGAAUGGUUGGAUGAAGCACAGCGGAUUAUUGCAUCGGAAGGAGCGGAUGUGUAUGCAUAUUUAUGCGAUGUCUCCAACAGACAGAAUGUUUACGAAUGCGCGCGGCUGAUUCAGAAUGACGUGGGAGAAGUCUCCAUUUUGGUAAAUAAUGCUGGCAUCGUCUGCUCCAAGUAUUUUAUGGAUCUCCCGGAUGAAAGCAUUACCGAUGUUUUCCGCACUAAUACGUUCGCGCAUUUUUGGACGCUGAAGGCUUUCCUGCCCUCCAUGAUGGAUCGCAAUCAUGGCCACAUUAUAACGAUCGCCAGUGUAGUGGGUAAAGGGGCCGGAUGCGCCGCGUCGGGCUACAUCUCCAGUAAAUUUGCCGCAGUGGGACUGCACGAAGCUUUAGAAAUGGAGCUGAGGAUGCUGAGACGAACCGGGAUCCACAUGACGCUGGUUUGCCCCGGCUUGGUUUCCACCGGCCUUUUCGAAGGCGCAGAAUACAAGUUUCCCCGGUUAGUUCCGGUGCUUGACGCGGAUAAGCUAGCCGAAGAUGUUGUUGACACUGUUUUGCGCAAUGGCCAUCUGGUGAUUACUCCUUUCAUGGCUGAACUCGGGGUUAGAGUCAAAAGGUGAGUGCCGUCCAUUCACUUCGUCUGCGUCCAAAAAGUUAUGUUAUUGAGCGAAGUCCAAAUCGCAUUGCCUGCACCUUUGAUUAUCGUCGCGCAAUGAAAUGGACGCACUUUGAUCACCCUGCUUCCGGUGAAAGCGUGCAAUGCCGUUAUGGACUUUGCCGGUGCCACGACAAUGCUCAAUACAUUCCGCGGCAGACAAACCACUACCACUGCUAUUUCCUGAGAAUGAUUCUCAUAGCAGGCUCUCUGCACACCUCUGACGUUCGAUAAUACUGGAGGAAUUCUUAAUGCCUUAUGCAUGCGGUAUUGGUUAUUUUGUAUGUGUUUGCUCAAACCCCAGUGAUAUAGAAUUUUUAAACUUUUGUCGCGUAACGCAUUAAGUACUUUAUUGGCAUUUUUUAAAGAUGUAUGUACGCGGAUUUCCAAAUUACACAGGAAGUACACAUCCCCUUUUUUAUUUAAAAUUUUGCAAAGGCAUUUCAGUUUUUAUUACAAAUUUUGCAAAGGCGUUGAACAAUGAACAAUUUUUGUUUUGGAAGUCCUCAGUCCAAGAUUAAACUCGUUAACCGAAUGCUUUGGAAACCAAUAAGAAUCAAAACUGGA